AACUAACAAGGAUUCCCCUAGUAACUGCGAGUGAAGCGGGAAAAGCUCAAAUUUAAAAUCUGACAGUUGUUUUGGCUGUCCGAGUUGUAAUCUAGAGAAGUGUCUACCCGCGCUGGACCGUGUACAAGUCUCCUGGAAUGGAGCAUCAUAGAGGGUGAGAAUCCCGUCUUUGACAUGGAUCUACCAGGGCUUUGUGGUGCACUCUCAAAGAGUCGAGUUGUUUGGGAAUGCAGCUCAAAAUGGGUGGUAAAUGCCAUCUAAAGCUAAAUAUUGGCGAGAGACCGAUAGCGAACAAGUACCGUGAGGGAAAGAUGAAAAGAACUUUGGAAAGAGAGUUAAACAGUACGUGAAAUUGCUGAAAGGGAAACGCUUGAAGUCAGUCGCAUCGACUGGAAAUCAACCUUGCUUUUGCAUGGUGUACUUUCUGGCUGAUGGGUCAGCAUCAAUUUUGAUUGCUGGAUAAAGGCUUGGGGAAUGUGGCAUCUUUGGAUGUGUUAUAGCCCCUGGCUGCAUACGGCAGUUGGGAUUGAGGAACUCAGCAUGCCGCAAGGCCGGGUCUUUUUGACCACGUAUAUGUGCUUAGGAUGCUGGCAUAAUGGCUUUAAUCGACCCGUCUUGAAACACGGACCAAGGAGUCUAACAUGCAUGCGAGUGUUUGGGUGGAAAACCCAUGCGCGCAAUGAAAGUGAAAGUUGAGAUCCCUGUCGUGGGGAGCAUCGACGCCCAGACCAGACCUUUUGUGACGGAUCUGCGGUAGAGCAUGUAUGUUGGGACCCGAAAGAUGGUGAACUAUGCCUGAAUAGGGUGAAGCCAGAGGAAACUCUGGUGGAGGCUCGUAGCGAUUCUGACGUGCAAAUCGAUCGUCAAAUUUGGGUAUAGGGGCGAAAGACUAAUCGA
rnacentral:rRNA from 1 species